rnacentral:lncRNA from 1 species
UAAAAUCGAUAGUUCAUUUAUUAGUUAUUGAGGUUUAAAUCUACUAUAGAAAUUACUUGGAAUUAUCUAGGGUUUGAUUAGGAUAUGUUUAAAAUUUUAUUAGGAUUCAGUUAAGAUUUUUUUAGGUUUGUUUAGGGUUUGGUUAGGAUUUGGUUAGAUUUUUUUUAGGAUUAGAUUAGGAUUUGGUUAGAAUUUAUUUAGGAUUUGAUUAUGAUUUGGUUAAGGUUUAUUUAAGAUUUGAUUAAGAUUUGGUUAGUAUUUAUUAGGAUUUGAUUAGAAUUUGGUUAAGAUUUGUUAGAAUUUGAUUAAGAUUUAGUUAGGAUUGUUCAAGAUUUGAUUAGGAUUUAUUUAGGAUUUAUCUAGGAUUUGUUUAGAAUUUGAUUAGGAUUUAUUUAGUAUUUGGUUAGGAUUUGUUUAGGGUUUGACUAGGAUUUGGUUAAGGUUAGUUUAGGAUUUGUUUAAGAUUUGAUUAUGAUUUAUUAGAGUUUGACUAAGAUUUAUUUAGGAUUUUCUUAGGAUUUGACUAGGAUUUAAUUAAGAUUUCUAUUUUAAUAUUUUAUUAAGAUUUUUUAUUUUAGUAUAUUUUUGAAUUUCUAUGUUAUUUCUUUAUGAUUUCUUUAAAAGAUCUUUAGAAAUACUUUAUAUUUCUUACAUAAUUCUUUUGUAAUUUUGAUUG